rnacentral:rRNA from 1 species
UCCUACGGGGGGCAGCAGUAGGGAAUUUUCGUCAAUGGGCGCAAGCCUGAACGAGCAAUGCCGCGUGAACGAGGAAGGUCUUCGGAUCGUAAAGUUCUGUUGAAGGGGAAAAAGAGCGGAGAGAGGAAAUGGUCUCCGAUUGAUAUUACCCUUCGAGGAAGUCACGGCUAACUACGUGCCAGCAGCCGCGGUAAUACGGAGGGCGCGAGCGUUAAUCGGAAUUACUGGGCGUAAAGCGCGCGUAGGCUGUUGUGUAAGUUGGGGGUGAAAUCCCACGGCUCAACCGUGGCACAGCCCUUGAUACU